UACGGAGGGCGCGAGCGUUGUCCGGAUUUAUUGGGUUUAAAGGGUGCGUAGGCGGUCUUUUAAGUCAGUGCUGAAAUAUCCCGGCUUAACCGGGAGGGUGGCAUUGAUACUGAAGGACUUGAGUUCAGUCGAGGUAGGCGGAAUUGACGGUGUAGCGGUGAAAUGCUUAGAUAUCGUCAAGAACACCGAUAGUGUAGACAGCUUACUAGGCUGAAACUGACGCUGAGGCACGAAAGUGUGGGGAUCAAACAGG
rnacentral:rRNA from 1 species